rnacentral:ncRNA from 1 species
UUUCCCUCAGGAUAGCAGAGAUUCGUAAAGUAGUUUUAUGAGGUAAAGCGAAUGAUUAGAGGCUUGGGGGGCGAAACGCCUUUCACCUAUUCUCAAACUUUAAAUAUGUAAGAAGUCCUUGUUGCUUAAUUGAACUUGGACCUUCGAAUACAGAAUCUCU